GUCGAGAAUCUUUCACAAUGGGGGCAACCCUGAUGGAGCGACGCCGCGUGGAGGAUAAGGUCUUCGGAUUGUAAACUCCUGUCAUGCGUGAACAAGGUUGCUUGGUUAAUACCUGGGCAAAUUGAUGGUAACGCAAGAGGAAGAGACGGCUAACUCUGUGCCAGCAGCCGCGGUAAUACAGAGGUCUCAAGCGUUGUUCGGAAUCACUGGGCGUAAAGGGUGCGUAGGUGGCGUGGUAAGUCAGAUGUGAAAGCCCGGGGCUCAACCUCGGAACUGCAUCCGAUACGGCCAUGCUAGAGUACUGGAGAGGUGACUAGAAUUCUCGGUGUAGCAGUGAAAUGCGUAGAUAUCGAGAGGAAUACCAAAGGCGUAGGCAGGUCACUGGACAGUUACUGACACUGAGGCACGAAGGCCAGGGGAGCGAACGGGAUUAGAAACCCGUGUAGUCC
rnacentral:rRNA from 1 species